GAUAUUGCGACAAAGUAGCCAUACCUUAUCACCUAAGAGGAAUGGUGGUUGUUCCUUUUGAUAGACAUUCGCAUUGACAUUUUGUUGUUCUUGAGCCUCUUUUAACUACGCCUUCAUUGUUGUAUGUAGCUCUGAUAAAUGAAUCGCUAAAUCUUUCGCAGCAGGAUUAUCAACUUUUGAAAAGUCAAAAGUAUCAAGUCAUGGAUGAUAAUCAUAAUUAGCAAAGAAAGGUGUUUGUUAUGUAGAAGAAUGUACCGUAUUAUUGUAAGCAAACUUUGCCAAUGGCAAAAGAGUUGUCCAAUCAUCUUGUUGGUAGUUAAUGGUACAUCUUAAAUAU
rnacentral:lncRNA from 1 species